rnacentral:rRNA from 1 species
CCUACGUGGGGCUGCAGUGAGGAAUAUUGGUCCAUGGGCGAGAGCCUGAACCAGCCAAGUCGCGUGAAGGAUGACGGCCCUACGGGUUGUCAACUUCUUUUUUCAGGGAGCAAUUGGGUCCACGCGUGGGCUUAGCUAGAUUACCUGAAGAAAAAGCAUCGGCUAACUCCGUGCCAUCAUCCGCGGUAAUACGGAGUAUGCGAGCGUUAUCCGGAUUUUUUGGGUUUAAAGGGUUCGUAGGAGGAAUAUCAAGUCAGCGGUAAAAAUUCGGGGCUCAACCCCGUCGUGCCGUUGAAACUGAUGUUCUUGAGUGGGCGAGAAGUAUGCGGAAUGCGUGGUGUAGCGGUGAAAUGCAUAGAUAUCACGCAGAACUCCGAUUGCGAAGGCAGCAUACCGGCGCCCAACUGACGCUGAAGCACGAAAGCGUGGGUAUCGAACAGGAUUAGAUACCCCGGUAGUC